UUGUUCCCCGCUUGACUUAAGCAUAUCAAUAAGCGGAGGAAAAGAAACCAACAGGGAUUGCCUUAGUAACGGCGAGUGAAGCGGCAAUAGCUCAAAUUUGAAAUCUGGCGCUUGCGUCCGAGUUGUAAUUUGUAGAGGAUGAUUUUGGUUAGGUACCUUUCGAGUUCCUUGGAACAGGACGCCUUAGAGGGUGAGAGCCCCGUACGAUUGGAUGCCGAGCCUCUGUAAAUCUCCUUCGACGAGUCGAGUAGUUUGGGAAUGCUGCUCUAAAUGGGAGGUAAAUUUCUUCUAAAGCUAAAUACCGGCCAGAGACCGAUAGCGCACAAGUAGAGUGAUCGAAAGAUGAAAAGCACUUUGAAAAGAGGGUUAAAUAGCACGUGAAAUUGUUGAAAGGGAAGGAUUUAUGACCAGACUUUUUCUAGGAGAAUCAUCCGGUGUUCUCACCGGUGCACUUCUUUUAGUUUAGGCCAGCAUCGACUUUCGGCGGUGGAUAAAAGCUUUAGGAAUGUGGCUUCUCUCGGGAAGUGUUAUAGCCUAUUGUAUAAUACACUGCUGGGGGUCGAGGUACGCGCUUCUGCAAGGAUGCUGGCGUAAUGGUUAUCAAUCACCCGUCUUGAAACACGGACCAAGGAGUCGAACAUUUGUGCGAGUGUUUGGGUGUUAAACCCUCACGCGUAAUGAAAGUGAACGGAGGUGAGAGCCCUUACGGGUGCAUCAUCGACCGAUCCUGAUGUUUUCGGAUGGAUUUGAGUAAGAGCAUAAAUGUUCGGACCCGAAAGAUGGUGAACUAUGCGUGGAUAGGGUGAAGCCAGAGGAAACUCUGGUGGAGGCUCGCAGCGGUUCUGACGUGCAAAUCGAUCGUCAAAUCUGCGCAUGGGGGCGAAAGACUAAUCGAACCAUCUAGUAGCUGGUUACCGCCGAAGUUCCCCUCCAGGAUA
rnacentral:rRNA from 1 species